GAAAUCAGAAAGAAUGGCUCUUCCGCAUUAAGCCUUAAACCCUCAAUAAACCCGCCAAAAUACAGCUUAAUUGUUCAACUUAAUCUGUAGCGAGUACGCUGGCAGCAUUAACAUCAGCAUAUAAAUGCAGAGGAUCAAACCAAGAACCAUGAGGGUUUUGCGCCGAGGCACUUUCUCUCUCUCGAAACUAGUAGAGAGAGAGAGAGAGAGAGAGUGAUUUCUUCAAUCCUCUUCUCCAACACAGCAGAAGAAGAACGAGGCGCUCCCUCAGCUCCGUUCUCCGGCUCAUCGGCUCCACACAUUUUGGUGUAUAAAUAUUUGGAUGUGCAAGACAUGGAUAUCAUACAAGAAAUGCAAGAACUGAAAUUGGAAGGGAUGAUACCCUCUUGUCCUCGGGAUUUUCCUCCGGAAAUCGUCCACGAGAUCCUCAUUAGGCUACCUGCUAAGUCUCUGGUCAAAUGCACCUCAGUGUGCAAGACAUGGAGGUCCAUGAUCAUAAACCGAAGCUUUUUUAGCAACAUCUCACCCGAAGAGGCAAUCUUGCUGGCCAGAAUGGCACUCACCUCCUCCUGCUCCACAGGGUUUGUGGUAAGAAGAGAACCAUUCUCUCCAAAACGGGUUGCAAGGUAACAGACGAGGUUCACUCUCUGCAUUUUGAUAACCAGGCUUUUGACGAGGUUCAUUUCUUCGUGUAGUUGGAGUUUGUGACGGGCUGAUCUGUCUUGUGGAUGAUAUGUUCUGUUAUGCUUACAACUUCUUUAUAUGGAAUCCAUCCAUUAGGAAGUUAGUGACCCUUCCCAUGCCUGAUGUUACCUUUAGCACGCAUCGUGGAUAUGAUGCUUCUAUUGGCUUUGGUUUUGAUGCUAUUAACAACGACUAUAAGGUCGUGAGAAUUGCCACUCUUUUGGAGCAACAUGAGUUACCAACUUUAGGCAAGGUUAUUCCCUAGCCAAGGGUUCAUGAACCAGUCUUGGUUGCAUUUCUCCUGCAUGUCUGAUAGAUAAAGCUGCUCCCAAUGUUUUUGUUAAUGGGGCUCUUCAUUGGCCUGUGUGUCGGAACACAAAGGAUGAACGUAACUAUUUUGUAUUGAAAUUUGACUUGUGCUGAGGUGUUUCGUCGGAUGUCUUUGCCACACACUUUUAAAUGGAGGUUUGAGUUGGAAUUGCGAUUGACUGUUACAGGAGAUAAAAAAGCUGUUGCUCUGUUUAUCUUGGAUAUGGGGUCUGAAGAUUAUGCUCUUGAUAUAUGGGUAACGAAAGAGUACGGCAGAAAGGAUUCGUGGACCAAAUUGAUGACUCUCGGUCCACAAGGUCUGGAAAGAUUUUAGACAGUGUGGUGAAGUAUUGUUGUUGCCGAGCAAAGAAUCAAGUCACGAGUUGGCAUCACUGGACCUUGUGAGCAAAGAAGUUCGAAAUCUUGGGAUUUCCGGAUUUCAAUUUUGCUCGGCUCAUUUUCAUGAAGGGUGCCUCAUCUUACUGGACAAGACCAAUGCGGAGUCGUACUAAGAAAUAGAUAGAACAGGUAAUUUGAUUAUAGCAGUGCGAUCAGAACGUUGCAUGUUAUGAACAUUUUAUUUCUUUGUUUUCCGGAUUUUUAUGUUCAUCAACACUUUGAUUGGUGACUAUGUCGUUUUGAGUUUUUGACUAAUAUAAUAACUCGUGAUGAAUUUAAACAGUGGACUGAUGUCGUUGCUGCUACUGUAGUGAAGUUCGUUUAUUCAUAUUUCAUGGUUCUAAUUUCUGCGGUAAUAGAAUAUUAGAAUUGUGCGAUAGUUCAUGCGUUGAAUGCUUUUGCAGUUUGAAUUUCGAAAUGCUACCCAUAUGCUAAUCACAGGAUGUGAAUUGAAAACAAAAAACAAGUUCAAAUCCAAAUAACUAGUAUGCUAAAGAGCCAAAUACUGUAGAAAUAUAUACAACAUAAGAAAAAUAUGGACUAGUUCUUGUUAAACUAUCUAAGAAAUUACUAAAUUUCCUUACUCGAGUAAUUAGUGAUUUGCAAUUUGACCAAAACCAACCGUUAUACAUUGUAACGGGUGAUUAACGGCUCCACUCGUUACCAACCUAACCCGGUAUACUUCAACACAACUGCAAUUUUCUUGUGAGUUCGGGUCAUGUUAGCCGGUUGUGUUAUUGUAACGGCUCCGGUCGUUACCAACCUAAUCCGGUAUACUUCAAAACCACAUGUUUAUUGUAUGUACGUAUGGUAUGACAUGUCUUAAUUAA